UCCCCGCUGCCGCCCCCGCUGGGCCCAGACCCCGAGCCCGCAGCCCGCAGCCAUGGCACCCAGUCAGCUCGCCUUAUUUAGUGUCUCUGACAAAACGGGCCUUGUGGAAUUUGCCAGAAACCUAACUUCUGUUGGUUUGAAUCUGAUCGCCUCUGGAGGGACCGCAAAAGCUCUCAGGGAUGCGGGUCUGGCAGUCAGAGAUGUCUCUGAGCUGACGGGAUUUCCUGAAAUGUUAGGGGGGCGUGUGAAAACCUUGCAUCCUGCAGUCCAUGCUGGAAUCUUGGCUCGUAAUGUCCCAGAAGAUAGUGCUGACAUGGCCAGACUUGAUUUCAGUCUUAUAAGAGUUGUCGUCUGUAAUCUGUAUCCCUUUGUGAAGACAGUGGCUCCUCCAGAUGUAACUGUUGAACAGGCUGUUGAGCAGAUUGAUAUUGGUGGAGUAACCCUACUGAGAGCAGCAGCCAAAAACCAUGCUCGAGUGACAGUCGUAUGUGACCCUGAGGACUAUGUGGCCGUGUCCACAGAGCUGCAAAGCUCUGACAGCAAAGACACCUCCUUGGAGACUAGACGCCAGUUAGCCUUGAAGGCUUUCACUCAUACGGCACAAUAUGAUGAAGCCAUUUCAGAUUACUUCAGGAGACAGUAUAGUAAAGGAAUAUCUCAGAUGCCUUUGAGGUAUGGAAUGAACCCUCAUCAAACUCCUGCCCAGUUAUACACACUGAAGCCCAAGCUUCCCAUCACAGUUCUAAAUGGAGCCCCUGGAUUUAUAAACUUGUGUGAUGCUUUGAAUGCCUGGCAGCUGGUGAAGGAACUCAAAGAAGCUUUAGGCAUUCCAGCCGCUGCCUCUUUCAAACAUGUCAGCCCAGCAGGUGCUGCUGUUGGAAUCCCACUCAGUGAAGAUGAAGCUAAAGUCUGCAUGGUCUACGAUCUGUAUAAAACUCUUACACCCAUAUCAGCUGCAUAUGCAAGGGCAAGAGGGGCUGAUAGGAUGUCUUCCUUUGGUGACUUUGUUGCAUUAUCUGAUGUUUGUGAUGUCCCUACUGCCAAAAUUAUCUCCAGAGAGGUAUCUGAUGGUAUUGUUGCCCCAGGAUAUGAAGAUGAAGCUUUGAAAAUACUUUCUAAAAAGAAAAAUGGGAGUUACUGUGUUCUUCAGAUGGAUCAGUCCUACAAACCAGAUGAAAAUGAAGUUCGAACUCUCUUUGGUCUUCUUUUAAGUCAGAAGAGAAAUAAUGGUGUCAUUGACAGGUCAUUAUUUAGCAACGUUGUGACCAAGAAUAAAGAUUUGCCAGAGUCUGCACACAGACACCUCAUCGUAGCCACCAUUGCUGUGAAGUACACGCAGUCUAACUACGUGUGCUAUGCCAAGAAUGGUCAGGUUAUUGGCAUUGGAGCAGGACAGCAGUCUCGAAUACACUGCACACGCCUUGCAGGGGAUAAAGCAAACUAUUGGUGGCUUAGACAUCAUCCACAGGUGCUUUCAAUGAAGUUUAAAACUGGAGUGAAGAGAGCAGAAAUCCCCAAUGCCAUUGAUCAGUAUGUUACUGGAACCAUUGGCGAGGAUGAAGAUUUGAUAAAGUGGAAGGCAUUGCUUGAGGAAGUGCCUGAAUUAUUAACUGAAGAAGAGAAGAAGAAAUGGGUUGACAAACUUAGUGAAGUUUCUGUCAGCUCUGAUGCCUUUUUUCCUUUCAGGGAUAAUGUAGACAGAGCUAAAAGGAGUGGUGUGGCCUACAUUGCUGCUCCUUCUGGUUCUGCUGCUGACAAAGUUGUGAUCGAGACAAGAAUAAUCCUUGCUCAUACGAGUCUUCGGCUUUUUCAUCACUGA